rnacentral:rRNA from 1 species
GAUGAACGCUGGCGGCGUGCCUAAUACAUGCAAGUCGAGCGAACAGACGAGGAGCUUGCUCCUCUGACGUUAGCGGCAGACGGGUGAGUAACACGUGGAUAACCUACCUAUAAGACUGGGAUAACUUCGGGAAACCGGAGCUAAUACCGGAUAAUAUAUUGAACCGCAUGGUUCAAUAGUGAAAGACGGUUUUGCUGUCACUUAUAGAUGGGUCCGCGCCGCAUUAGCUAGUUGGUAAGGUAACGGCUUACCAAGGCGACGAUGCGUAGCCGACCUGAGAGGGUGAUCGGCCACACUGGAACUGAGACACGGUCCAGACUCCUACGGGAGGCAGCAGUAGGGAAUCUUCCGCAAUGGGCGAAAGCCUGACGGAGCAACGCCGCGUGAGUGAUGAAGGUCUUCGGAUCGUAAAACUCUGUUAUUAGGGAAGAACAAAUGUGUAAGUAACUAUGCACGUCUUGACGGUACCUAAUCAGAAAGCCACGGCUAACUACGUG